ensembl:lncRNA
AUAUUAACAUAUGAACACACAUUUACCUUAAAGAAAUGUUAACAUGUAUUUUUGUGGAAAUGAAAAAAAACUUAACAACAGUGGACUCGUUUUUAGUAGUAUUGAAGUGAUAAAAAUAAAUGACAUAAAAAUAGAGAAUAAGAAAAUAGCAGAAAAUGACAGUCUUUUUGAUUAUUUAAGCUACUUUAAUAAAAAUAAAUGUUUAUUAAAAUUAAAAAAGAUACUAAAUAAAAUUGUUGUUAAUAGUCAAAUGAUUUUAACAACUUUUGCUGAUGAUGAUAAUGAAUUAUUAAAUAGUGAACAUUUAUAUAAAAAGCUUUUAAAAAAUAAAACUAGUUAUUUAUUUAAAAACGUUUAUUUAUCUUCUUUUUUUACAGACAAUUAUAUUAAUAACAUUCUUAAAAAACAUAAACAAAUUUUAAUUACUUAUAAUUGUAAAUAUGACAAUAAAAUUUAUAUUAAUAAUCGUUACGCAUAUUUCUCUAUUAAUGACGUGACCAAACUAGGGUUCAUCACUCAUAAAAAUAUAUAUAAGGAUAAAUAUGCAUUAAAUAAUAUUAUAGUUAUUGAAAUAUGUGAUUUGAAAAAAAAAAAAUUAAAAAAAAAAUAUCUUACUACAGGUGAUGAGGCUGGAGGAGUAUAUGUAUAUUCGUCAAGAGCAAAUAAAAAAAAAAUUAACAAAUAUAAAUCAAAUGGAAAUAGUACAAAUGAUUAUGCAGAGAAUAUAAAUAAUAAUAAUCAGAAAAAAGAUAAAGAGGAGACAAAAAAAGUGAUAGAAACGGGAAAAAAAGACGAAGCAAAAGAAAAAAAAAUAAGUAUAAGUAAUGAUGCUAAUUGUAAAACUUAUAGUAGCCGUAGUAAUAUUACUGUAAGUAAAAUGCGUAAAAAAUAUGAAAAUUUUUUUAACGAUGUUUAUACAUAUCCAGUAGAUUUAUUAGCCAGUUUUGAAAAUAUAAAAUGUCAUAAAACGUUUGGACAAAAGUUAAAACAAAUUUUAAAUAGUAAAACUGAUACGAGACAAAAUGAUGGUUCUAACACAAAACAUAGUAGUAAUAAUAAUAGUAGUAUUUAUAAUUGCGAUGACUUUAAUGAAAAGACAAAUGCUGAGGUUUAUAUUGUUAAUUUAAAAUGUUAUGAAUGUUUUUAUAAAAUGAAACAAGAUAACAAUGAUAAUGUUGUAACAAAUAAUUUAUUUUCUUUUAACAAAUAUGAUAAUGUUUAUAGAAAUGUAUGUUCGUAUAAUAAUACUUCCGACAGGAAUAAUGGUAAUAACAUUAUUAGUGACCCAAAUAAUGAUUCAUCAUUACUAGAAAAAUUAGGUGCAACAGAUGUAGCCGAUAUAUAUAAAAUUGUAUAUGGUAGUUUAGAAACAAAUAAUAAUAUGUCACAUUUUUUAAAUAACAGUAAUACAAACAAUGUUAUAAAUAGUUCUGGUGUUAAUGGUAACGGUCAGAGAGCUAUACUUCCCCAUAAUAUGGCAAGCAUAAAUAACGUAUAUGCUUUAAACACUACACUAGGACAAAGUAAUAAAAAUGAAUCAAGUUUAAAUAGUUACAAGAAUAUGAACAUGAUUGUUAAUAAUAUGAUGCCCAGUAGAAAAAGAAAAAAAGAAAUUUAUUAUGAACUGAAUGUACCAUAUAUCUUUCAGGAGUUUUUGUCUUAUUUCCAUGAAAGAGAUAAUGACGAAAAAAGAGAAGAGCUAAAUGAAAAGGAAGAAAGUGAUAAUAAUAAAAAUGAUAUAGUAGAUAUAUACGACUUGAAAAAACAGGAUAAACGAAAAAGCGAAAAAAGCGAAAAAAGCGAAAAAAGCGAAAAAAGCGAAAAAAACGAAAACCACAGACAGACUGGACAAAUUAAAUUAAAUGAACAAAAUACACGAGUCAUGCCAGAAAAAACAAGCUUAAUUAAACAGAAAGGACAGAAAGGACAAAAAGUAUCAAAAAAUAAAAUAUUUUACGCUAAUGAUAAAAAAUUUUACCUAAACUAUAGUUCCUCUAGUAGUAAUAAUGACAUAAAUUUAUCUAUUAUUAAUAAUUUUAAAAAAAAAUAUAUAAAUAAUAGUGAUAAGCAACAAAAUAUAAAAAAUAGCGAAGACACUAAUAUAUCUAAUGAUUUUAAUAGCUAUAAAAACACAGAUACGUAUUAUACACAAAAAGAUGAAUAUAUAAUGAGAAUAUCAAAAAAGGACUCAUAUAAUGACGCAAAUAAGAGUCCAUAUAAGGACGCAAAUAAGAGCCCAUAUAAGAACGCAAAUACUAUUCCCAUUGGAACGCGGAACCCAAUAUCCAACAUAAGUAAUACAAAUUUGAACAAGUUGCAACAUACAUGCUUAACAAAAAAUAAUUAUAACGAUAAUACAUUUAUUAGUGUCGAUACAAAUAACAAAAUAAAUAAAACGAUUACCUUUUUAAAAAAAAAUAACCUUAUAAUUGAUGAUGCUUUUUUAGAUAAAAACAUGUAUACACUUAUUUGGGACUACAUUUCGAAAAAAAAAGGGAUUUUAAAAAAAAACAAAAAAAGUGAAAACAGAAAAAUGAAUGAGAACUUGAAAAAUGAGAAAAGCGAAAAUUUUCAAAAUUUUAUAGAUUAUUUAAUAGAAUAUAUCGGAAGAAUAAAUUUAGACAUAAAAUUAAAUGAAAAAUGUAAUUAUAAUUUUUUUUUAAAAACCCAAAAGUAUUACUAUGAAAUACAAAAAAUUAUAUUAAAUAACGGUUUAAUUUCCUCAUCUAAUGUGCAUAUUAUUGUUAACUAUAUUAUAGACAAACUGGUGAAUGCGACUAAUAAAAAUUUAAACAAGUUAAGUUAUGUUAUUUCAAUGUAUGGGCAAGAUUAUAAUUUUAUAAAUAAUAAUAAAUAUUCACAAGAAACUUCCAGUCAGACUGCUACUCAUAUUUUUUUUUUUUACUGUUAUAAAAAUGUUUAUAUAAUGACAUUGAGCACGGUCAACAGGGUUAUGUGAGCUUGUACUAGCAUGUAUGACUUUACUAGUGUGUGUGUGUGACCUAACUAACGUAUUUUCAAAAGACAUAAAUUCAUGCAUAUAUUUGAUCAUGAGUGCUGCUACGUACAUGUGUACGAAUGUGUAUAUAUAUAUAUAUAUAUAUAUAUAAUACAUAUUAUUUUUUGUCAUUAUUAAUUCAUAAUAAUUUAAAAUUUCUUUUUGUUUUUAAG